CCUCGCCCUGCCGCUGGCGGGGAGCAGUCCCAGGGCCCCGAGGGGUGGCUUAGCCGGUGGCUUCCAGACCAGGCCUCGGCUUGAGGACCAUUGAGGAAGAGGAGGUGGAAAGAUUGUAAGAGCCAGAGGUCAGGAGGACUGGACCAAAACAGUGUCUUCUGGACAUGACAUGACUGCUGUACUCAUGAACUCACAGUGGCUGUGGGAGCAAUCGGAACAGUUCUGUGUCCGGGUGCUGCCUGAUAGUAUCAAAGCCUUGUCCUGUAAUGAAAAGCCUGAUAUUGACACCCGGCAGGCCAGAUGCUCCGCUGAGUCUCAGGAGAGAGUGAAUGUCAGGUGCUGACUGUCGGCAGGGAAGAGAGCCAGCAAUCGCCUGAGAACUAAGGCCUGAAUCUUGCCAGGGACCUGCCUCCACCAGUUCUGUGGUAUUGGAAAAGUCACCUAACUCUUUUGGACUUGGUUUUGUGUUUGUAACUGACACACACCUGUAACCCCAGCACGUGGGUGGUAAAAGCAGAAGUAGAUGUUCAAAGGUUAUCCUCUAUUAUCUGGUGCGUUCAAGGCCAUCCCGGGAUACAGGAGACUGUGUAUCAAAAACUUCAUAAAUAAAUAGAAUAAAGCCUUGGUAAACGUUU